UCGGUGUGUACAAGACCCGGGAACGUAUUCACCGCAACAUUCUGAUUUGCGAUUACUAGCGAUUCCAGCUUCAUGUAGUCGAGUUGCAGACUACAAUCCGAACUGAGACGUUAUUUUUGGGAUUUGCCCCACUUCGCAGUAUUGCCUCCCUUUGUUUACGCCAUUGUAGCACGUGUGUAGCCCUGCCCAUAAGGGGCAUGAUGAUUUGACGUCAUCCCCACCUUCCUCCAGGUUAUCCCUGGCAGUCUCUCUAGAGUGCCCAUCCGAAAUGCUGGCUACUAAAGAUAAGGGUUGCGCUCGUUGCGGGACUUAACCCAACAUCUCACGACACGAGCUGACGACAACCAUGCACCACCUGUCUCCGCUGCCCCGAAGGGAAGGCCACAUUACUGGCCGGUCAGCGGGAUGUCAAGGGCAGGUAAGGUUCUUCGCGUUA
rnacentral:misc_RNA from 1 species